rnacentral:rRNA from 1 species
AUUGAACGCUGGCGGCAUGCUUUACACAUGCAAGUCGAACGGUAACAGGCCGCAAGGUGCUGACGAGUGGCGAACGGGUGAGUAAUGCAUCGGAACGUGCCCAGUCGUGGGGGAUAACGCAGCGAAAGCUGCGCUAAUACCGCAUACGAUCUAUGGAUGAAAGCGGGGGACCGUAAGGCCUCGCGCGAUGGAGCGGCCGAUGUCAGAUUAGGUAGUUGGUGGGGUAAAGGCUCACCAAGCCAACGAUCUGUAGCUGGUCUGAGAGGACGACCAGCCACACUGGGACUGAGACACGGCCCAGACUCCUACGGGAGGCAGCAGUGGGGAAUUUUGGACAAUGGGCGCAAGCCUGAUCCAGCAAUGCCGCGUGCAGGAAGAAGGCCUUCGGGUUGUAAACUGCUUUUGUACGGAACGAAAAGGCUCUGGAUAAUACCUGGGGCUCAUGACGGUACCGUAAGAAUAAGCACCGGCUAACUACGUGCCAGCCGCCGCCGUAAAAC